UACGAAGGGGGCUAGCGUUGUUCGGAAUUACUGGGCGUAAAGCGCACGUAGGCGGAUAUUUAAGUCAGGGGUGAAAUCCCAGAGCUCAACUCUGGAACUGCCUUUGAUACUGGGUAUCUUGAGUAUGGAAGAGGUGAGUGGAAUUCCGAGUGUAGAGGUGAAAUUCGUAGAUAUUCGGAGGAACACCAGUGGCGAAGGCGGCUCACUGGUCCAUUACUGACGCUGAGGUGCGAAAGCGUGGGGAGCAAACAGG
rnacentral:rRNA from 2 species